AAGAAAUGCCUUUCAGUACGGUUCAUCACGAGGCCGAUCCGGGCGUGGCGCGCAAUGACCUGCUCCAGCGCAAGCCACCACGCCUUGCCGAUGCCGUCGACAAAGCCCGUCGGAAUGUACAAGGCGAACGGCACACGGUGACGCGACAGCACCGGAUAGGCGUAAGUCAUGAAAUCGCGAUGGCCGCCGUCGAAUGUCAGGCAGACAAACCGGCGCGCGAGGGCUGCCUGCUGCGCGCGUUCAGCGACUUCGCCGAUAGAAAGAAAAUCAAAGUUCCACCGCUUCAGGGCGGAGAUCGCCUUGUCGAGAAAUUCCGGAGUGACGUCAUACGAUCGCAGCGGCUG
rnacentral:misc_RNA from 1 species